UACAGAGGGGGCAAGCGUUGUUCGGAAUUACUGGGCGUAAAGGGCGCGUAGGCGGCCCGCUAAGUCGAACGUGAAAUCCCCGAGCUCAACUCGGGAACUGCGUCCGAUACUGGCGGGCUUGAAUCCGGGAGAGGGAUGCGGAAUUCCAGGUGUAGCGGUGAAAUGCGUAGAUAUCGGGAAGAACACCAGUGGCGAAAGCGCUCUACUGGGCCAUAACUGACACUGAGGGACGAAAGCUAGGGGAGCGAAAGGG
rnacentral:rRNA from 1 species